AUUUAUAUAGUUUAUUUAAAACAUUACAUUUUCACUGUAAAAUAUAUAAUUUAUUAUAUAUAAAUA
rnacentral:tRNA from 1 species